rnacentral:rRNA from 1 species
UACGGAGGGUGCGAGCGUUGUCCGGAAUCACUGGGCGUAAAGGGCGCGUAGGCGGCCUGAUAAGUAGGGGGUGAAAUCCUGCGGCUUAACCGCAGGGCUGCCUUCUAAACUGUCAGGCUUGAGCACAGUAGAGGCAGGUGGAAUUCCCGGUGUAGCGGUGAAAUGCGCAGAUAUCAGGAAGAACACCUAUGGCGAAGGCAGCUCUCUGGGACGGUACUGACGCUGAGACGCGAAAGCGUGGGGAGCGAACAGG